CUCUUCGGAGAGUAGCGGCGGACGGGUGAGUAACGCGUGGGUAACCUGCCCUGUACACACGGAUAACAUACCGAAAGGUAUACUAAUACGGGAUAACAUACGAAAGUCGCAUGGCUUUUGUAUCAAAGCUCCGGCGGUACAGGAUGGACCCGCGUCUGAUUAGCUAGUUGGUAAGGUAAUGGCUUACCAAGGCAACGAUCAGUAGCCGACCUGAGAGGGUGAUCGGCCACACUGGAACUGAGACACGGUCCAGACUCCUACGGGAGGCAGCAGUGGGGAAUAUUGCACAAUGGGCGAAAGCCUGAUGCAGCAACGCCGCGUGAGCGAUGAAGGCCUUCGGGUCGUAAAGCUCUGUCCUCAAGGAAGAUAAUGACGGUACUUGAGGAGGAAGCCCCGGCUAACUACGUGCCAGCAGCCGCGGUAAUACGUAGGGGGCUAGCGUUAUCCGGAAUUACUGGGCGUAAAGGGUGCGUAGGUGGUUUUUUAAGUCAGAAGUGAAAGGCUACGGCUCAACCGUAGUAAGCUUUUGAAACUAGAGAACUUGAGUGCAGGAGAGGAGAGUAGAAUUCCUAGUGUAGCGGUGAAAUGCGUAGAUAUUAGGAGGAAUACCAGUAGCGAAGGCGGCUCUCUGGACUGUAACUGACACUGAGGCACGAAAGCGUGGGGAGC
rnacentral:rRNA from 1 species